rnacentral:rRNA from 1 species
GUGAACGCUGGCGGUAGGCCUAACACAUGCAAGUCGAACGGCAGCACAGUAAGAGCUUGCUCUUACGGGUGGCGAGUGGCGGACGGGUGAGGAAUACAUCGGAAUCUACUUUUUCGUGGGGGAUAACGUAGGGAAACUUACGCUAAUACCGCAUACGACCUACGGGUGAAAGCAGGGGAUCUUCGGACCUUGCGCGAUCGAAUGAGCCGAUGUCGGAUUAGCUAGUUGGCGGGGUAAAGGCCCACCAAGGCGACGAUCCGUAGCUGGUCUGAGAGGAUGAUCAGCCACACUGGAACUGAGACACGGUCCAGACUCCUACGGGAGGCAGCAGUGGGGAAUAUUGGACAAUGGGCGCAAGCCUGAUCCAGCCAUACCGCGUGGGUGAAGAAGGCCUUCGGGUUGUAAAGCCCUUUUGUUGGGAAAGAAAAGCAGCAGGUUAAUACCCCGCUGUUCUGACGGUACCCAAAGAAUAAGCACCGGCUAACUUCGUG